UACGUAGGGUGCGAGCGUUAAUCGGAGUUACUGGGCGUAAAGGGCGCGUAGGUGGUUAUGUGAGUGAGAUGUGAAAUCCCUGGGCUUAACCUAGGAACUGCAUCUUAAACUGCAUAGCUGGAGUACUGUAGAGGGUAGUGGAAUUUCCGGUGUAGCGGUGAAAUGCGUAGAGAUCGGAAGGAACACCAGUGGCGAAGGCGGCUACCUGGACAGAUACUGACACUGAGGCGCGAGAGCGUGGGGAGCAAACAGG
rnacentral:rRNA from 1 species